CCCCAUUAAUAUCUGUAUCACUCCCACACAUGAAAUCUGUAUGCUAAUACCGUAUUUGUUAUUCGCAGGAUGUGAAUUCCCUUCUGCUUUUUCAUGGUGCUGAGAGUAUGCCCGAGAAUAACAAGAGGUUGAGCCUGUUCAGAGAAAGAGUAACCAGACACCACGAGGCUCAUGGAUGUGACUUGACCUGAGCCUGAGAGUUCCUUCAAAGGAGCUGCUUUCCUGGAGUGGAAGUCUUAAGAGACAUUCUCAGCUGCACAUUAAUCAACUGGAUAGAAGCAGGAAGC
rnacentral:lncRNA from 1 species